rnacentral:rRNA from 1 species
CAGUAGCCGCGGGAAUACAGAGGGUGCAAGCGUUAAUCGGAAUUACUGGGCGUAAAGCGCGCGUAGGUGGUUUGUUAAGUUGGAUGUGAAAUCCCCGGGCUCAACCUGGGAACUGCAUCCAAAACUGGCAAGCUAGAGUAUGGUAGAGGGUGGUGGAAUUUCCUGUGUAGCGGUGAAAUGCGUAGAUAUAGGAAGGAACAUCAGUGGCGAAGGCGACCACCUGGACUGAUACUGACACUGAGGUGCGAAAUCGUGGGGAGCAAACAGGAUUAGAUACCCCUGUAGUCCCUGUCUCUUAUAC